rnacentral:rRNA from 1 species
UACGUAGGGGGCUAGCGUUGUCCGGAAUCAUUGGGCGUAAAGCGCGUGUAGGCGGUCCGGUAAGUCCGCUGUGAAAGUCGAGGGCUCAACCCUCGAAAGCCGGUGGAUACUGUCGGGCUUGAGUACGGGAGAGGCGAGUGGAAUUCCUGGUGUAGCGGUGAAAUGCGCAGAUAUCAGGAGGAACACCGAUUGCGAAGGCAGCUCGCUGGAACGUUACUGACGCUGAGACGCGAAAGCAUGGGGAGCGAACAGG